GAUCCUGGCUUAGGAUGAACGCUAGCGACAGGCUUAACACAUGCAAGUCGAGGGGCAGCAUAAAAGUAGCAAUACUUUGGUGGCGACCGGCGCACGGGUGAGUAACGCGUAUGCAACCUACCUAUCAGAGGGGAAUAACCCGGCGAAAGUCGGACUAAUACCGCAUAAAACAGGGGCACCGCAUGGUGAUAUUUGUUAAAGAAAUUCGCUGAUAGAUGGGCAUGCGUUCCAUUAGGUAGUUGGUGAGGUAACGGCUCACCAAGCCGACGAUGGAUAGGGGAACUGAGAGGUUGGUCCCCCACACUGGUACUGAGACACGGACCAGACUCCUACGGGAGGCAGCAGUGAGGAAUAUUGGUCAAUGGGCGGGAGCCUGAACCAGCCAAGUCGCGUGGAAAAGGAAGAAGGAUCUAUGGUUCGUAAACUUCUUUUGCAGGGGAAUAAAGUGCAGGACGUGUCCUGUUUUGUAUGUACCCUGAGAAUAAGGAUCGGCUAACUCCGUGCCAGCAGCUGC
rnacentral:rRNA from 1 species